ensembl:lncRNA
AUGAAGAAACCGUUGUGGCGCUGUAAGUGUGAGCUCUAUACACAAUGUAGGUACUUUCAUCAGUUCGGUAGUUCCCUCAUGCGCUGUUCUUCUCGUACACUGUCGUGUGUCUUUGACCGUGAGCUGGAGCCUUGGCACGCUGCUGGAUUCCCUUUCUGCCCUCUGAUUGGCUGUCGAGAGGCGCCGUCCUCCUGGCGACUGGCUUCUGAUUGGACAGAGCGGCUGAGCGGUUGUGGGCUGAUGCCUCGUCUCAUGAAUAUUCAUAAGCGGCAUAGAGCUACAUGCGGCCUCACCCUCGAUCCGUUGCUAGACGAGUGUGUUAUCUUUCAGCGACUUUAUCAUCGGUUUCCUUGGACUUUGCCGGACGUUUUCGGAUUUAAGGGAAGACGAAUAUCAGCAAAGGUUACAUUAUCCGGUUACGACCUGGUUACACGUUUGAUUGACGUGUACAAGCCACGCCCUUGCCUUAGAUCCACCUGCGCUUUCAGAAACUCACUUUAGUGAAGCGCACAAGUAACCUGAGCACUCUCUGGACACGAUUUAUAGUGGAUAAACCCUCCAUUUGAUCUUUCUGGACCGUCCAGCCUAAGAACAACCAACGUUACAUCUACUGCUGCUCUUCGUUCUGCCUCUGAUCAAAACCCUCCAGGUCAAUAAGACAGCAAAGAUGAUGCAAAUCUGCGAUUCCUACAACCAAAAAAACUCCCUCUUCAAUUCCAUGAACCGGUUUAUUGGUGCCGUGAACAACAUGGACCAGACGAUUAUGGUGCCAAGUUUGCUGAGGGAUGUCCCAUUGGACCAGGAAGGGGAGAAAGAGGUGAGCUCCUUCCAGGAUGGGGACAUGUACGGCUCUUAUGUGCUCCUCAAAUCAAUUAGGAACGAUAUCGAAUGGGGUGUACUUCAGGCCGACGAGAGGCGUAAGGAAAAGCAUGGCGUGACGACGGCCCUGGAGAUGUCUCGCAUUGAACCGAACGAUGAGGACUUGGAGAAGCUGUUUCAUUUUCAUCUAAACGGACUGCACACGGUUCUGUCAAAACUCACCCGAAAAGCCAACACUUUAACAAACAGGUACAAGCAAGAAAUUGGUAUCGGUGGCUGCGGGAAUUGAAAUGAACUGGAGUUUACUCCAUCCAUCGCCGGUGGACUGCAAAAAAGUUCACAAGGGGGUGCAGCAGGGGCCCGACGCCAAAUGGGCCCCUGGUGGCUUCCGUGCAUCUUUAAUUCCCCGGAUCAGAAAAAAAGACUUGUACUCGACGCCGGUUUACAAGCACCCUUAAUUCCCCUGCUAAUAUCCCUUGAUAUUGUUUGCACAACCUUGAUGCUGGCUUGGAAACAGGCUUUUGACAUUAAAUGUGAUUUAUUUAAGCAAACAGGCCAACAUUUAACAUUUAGAUAUGCAAAAGACAUUUCAUUGGUCGUUAUGGUAGUUUUGGCGGUGUAUUAAUGUAGAUUAUAACAGGUUGGGCUGAGAAUUAAUAUCACUAAUUAUGUAUGAAACGCACAUUUCAACACUGAAAAGCCACUGGUACUUUAUGACGUCAAUCGUUGAUGGAAUCAUAUGAUGGUUCUUAUGGAUGUUGACAGAUUCCUGGAGAUUACGUCACAGAUACUGUUGGUAAAAGUUCUAGAAGGAAAGUUGUGUCAUGUAUUUUUUUUUCUAUCACAAAGAUGGUUUGGAAAAUAAACAUUUUGUAAAUGCAACCCCACUGAUGUGACUGUGUGUUUAACUCAUGAUUAACAAUGAAUCAUUUCCUUCUGGGAUGUCCUUGCAAAAUAUCACUUUACAGUAGUGUACUUGCCUUAUCCUGUUCAGCAAACAUUUGCCUGUGUUGGCGCGCACAGCUGCUGCUGAGGUCCGCAAAGGGAUGAGGCACGUUAUAGUUAAGACCUGGCAACAUCUGAAAGAGCUGGGCACCUGCAGUGCAUUUUUCCAUUUCGUACUGCUGAGUCACUGCUUGAGCUGCACUUAAUGAUGGACGUCUCUAAUCUAAGCUGCCCAGUGCCCACACUAGUUUAAUAGGCCUAAAGGCACUACUGUAAGAAAAAGCCUUAUAAAUUAAAGGAAUGAUUUGCUGAUGCCUGUGUGGCCAGCUGACAGUUUUCUGUGGCAUCCUGUCAAAUUGUAAUUAAUAUUGAAUUGUUCUGCUCUUUGGAGACAUGGUAAAGAUAAGCAUUAACCCCUACAAGAUCUUUUGGAAUUUUCUAUGUGUUUAAAAAAACUAGCUUGAUUUGUCUUCACAUUUUGAGUCAUUCAAACUGAAUGCAUAGUAUUUCAUGCUAAAAUCUUGUAUUCUCAUAAAAUUCUAUAGUUUUUGUCUGUGUGUUAUCAUCAAAUGGUAAGCACACUUUAGGUUUUGUUUAAACUUAAUUUAACAUGUAAAAUGACAUGCGCAGUUGCGCACAAAACAAAUUUACAUUUAAGAUUUUGUCUGGUUUUGAUGUAAAAAGCAACAACAAAACAUUGAUUUUGCUUAAAUUGUUAAUCUUUAACAUUAAUAAAUGUAUGACAUGCACAGAAGACAAUCUGACAUCAAAACUAAUCAGGUUUUACUUACUGAUUUACUUGAAGGGAUACUCCACCCCAAAAUGAAAAUUUUGUCAUUAAUCACUUACCCCCAUGUCCUUCCAAACCUGUAAAAAGCUCCGUUCAUCUUCGGAAUACAAUUUCAGAUAUUUUGGAUGAAAACCGGGAGGCCUGUGACUGUCUCAUAGACUGCCAAGUAAAUAACAGUGUCAAGGUCCAUAAAAGGUAUGAAAGUCAUCGUCAGAAUACUCCAUCUGCCAUCAGACGUGCAAUCUGGGUUAUAUGAAGCGAUGGGAACAGUUUUUGUAAGCGAAGAAAACAAAAAUAAUUACUUUAUUCAACAAUUCCUUUGUCAACAGUCUCCUUUGUGUUUCUCCAUAUCACAGUAUGCUGUGUAUGCUCUUCUGUAUCAUCCGGGCCACAAGGAUGUGCUGUUUCUAUGUGUAUUUAGCUUUGAUUUGAAAGAAAACAGUGUAUCCUUGUGGCUCGUAUGAUACAGAAGAGCAUACGCAGCAUACAGUGUCUGGUUUUCACAUCAAAACAUACUGUAAAUGGACUGUAAUCUCAUUUCUAUGACCUUUUCCUGAUAAAGACCAGUGCUUUUACAUCACUUUACAUGUUAUCUGGUUAUCAUGAAAGUAAGACUGUCCAUGUAAACACAGUCUUUUCAGCAGGUGUCACCACUAAGAAAGGUCACUUGCCCAGUUGUUAUGUCCUUAAUAAAUCAAUGCAUAAAUAUUGCUUACAUGCUAGUUCAUUGCUACCUCAAGUUGUUCUAAAUAUAGACAUUACUGGGUCCAAAACAAAUUUAUUGCUCACCCAUUUGGAUGAAGCAGUACCGGUAGAGGUAUAUUGACUUUGCAUUACACAGUUCAUUAUAGACCUAAAGUUCUUGACAAGCUGCACACUGUAUGGUAAAAAAACAAACAAACAAACAAACAAAAAACAUAAUAUUUUAUACACUACAGCUCUGUCUGUUAUCUAAGAGCCAAACAAUCUACAAUUUGCUCUUUGAACUCCAUGUAUCUUGGAGCUGGUCAGACUAGUAGACAAACUGACCUUUAGUACUGAUGGAUCCAUAAUAGUUCCACCAUGAUAAAACAUGACACAGCAGAUAAAGCUGGUUGGAGGUGGGUAUCACAUGUUUGUCAACUUUCCUUUGUAUUUUCUGCAACAUUCCUAGUCUAAACCCUCCUGGUCGACAUUUUUCUCUCGUCUUCCUUUUCGCACCCUAAUUAGGGAUGGUGGGAGAACUAUACAGGAAAGAAGGCCAUCAGUUGGAUUUGCUGAUCUAGUGUUUCUCCAACUCCAACUGUUUGUCUGCCAUGUAGCUGAUGUAAGACCAGCCCGUGGCGUGACAUACUGAAACUUCCAGGCAGUACGAUGGAGUUUUGGAGGAUCGUAAGACCACCGGUGUUGGAAAUGAG